AUUGAACGCUGGCGGCAUGCCUUACACAUGCAAGUCGAACGGUAACGGGCCUUCGGGUGCCGACGAGUGGCGAACGGGUGAGUAAUGUAUCGGAACGUACCUUUCAGUGGGGGAUAACGUAGCGAAAGUUACGCUAAUACCGCAUAUUCUGUGAGCAGGAAAGCAGGGGAUCGCAAGACCUUGCGCUGAUUGAGCGGCCGAUAUCAGAUUAGCCAGUUGGUGAGGUAAAGGCUCACCAAGGCGACGAUCUGUAGCGGGUCUGAGAGGAUGAUCCGCCACACUGGAACUGAGACACUGUCCGGACGCCUACGGGAGGCAGCAGUGGGGAAUUUUGGACAAUGGGGGCAACCCUGAUCCAGCCAUGCCGCGGGAGUGAAGAAGGCCUUCGGGUUGUAAAGCGCUUUCGGCCGGGAAGAAAUCGUAUCAGCUAAUACCUGGUGCGGAUGACGGUACCGGCAUAAGAAGCACCGGCUAACUACGUGCCAGCCGCCGCAGUAAAAC
rnacentral:rRNA from 1 species